rnacentral:rRNA from 1 species
GAUGAACGCUGGCGGCGUGCCUAAUACAUGCAAGUCGAGCGAACAGACGAGGAGCUUGCUCCUCUCACGUUAGCCGCGGACGGGUGAGUAACACGUGUAUACCCUACCUAUAAGACUGGGAUAAUUUCGGGAAACCGGAGCUAAUACCGGAUAAUAUAUUGAACCGCAUGGUUCAAUAGUGAAAUACGGUUUUGCUGUCACUUAUAGAUGGAUCCGCGCCGCAUUAGCUAGUUGGUAAGGUAACGGCUUACCAAGGCAACGAUGCGUAGCCGACCUGAGAGAGUGAUAGGCCGCACUGGAACGGAGACACGGUCAAGACUCCUACGGGAGGCAGCAGUAGGGAAUCUUCCGCAAUGGGCGAAAGCUUGACGGAGCAACGCCGCGUGAGUGAUGAAGGUCUUCGGAGCGUAAAACUCUGUUAUUAGGGAAGAACAAAUGUGUAAGUAACUAUGCACGUCGUGACGGUACCUAAUCAGAAAGCCACGGCUAACUACGUG